AUGAACGCUGGCGGCGUGCCUAAUACAUGCAAGUCGAGCGAACAGACGAGGAGCUUGCUCCUCUGACGUUAGCGGCGGACGGGUGAGUAACACGUGGAUAACCUACCUAUAAGACUGGGAUAACUUCGGGAAACCGGAGCUAAUACCGGAUAAUAUAUUGAACCGCAUGGUUCAAUAGUGAAAGACGGUUUUGCUGUCACUUAUAGAUGGAUCCGCGCCGCAUUAGCUAGUUGGUAAGGUAACGGCUUACCAAGGCGACGAUGCGUAGCCGACCUGAGAGGGUGAUCGGCCACACUGGAACUGGGACACGGUCCAGACUCCUACGGGAGGCAGCAGUAGGGAAUCUUCCGCAAUGGGCGAAAGCUUGACGGAGCAACGCCGCGUGAGUGAUGAAGGUCUUCGGAUCGUAAAACUCUGUUAUUAGGGAAGAACAAAUGUGUAAGUAACUAUGCACGUCUUGACGGUACCUAAUCAGAAAGCCACGGCUAACUACGUG
rnacentral:rRNA from 1 species